UACGUGUGUGUGUGUGUGUGUGUAUAUAUAUAUAUAUAUAUAUACACACACACACACACACGUAUCUA
rnacentral:miRNA from 1 species